UGGCUUAGUGGUUAAGAGCACUGGUUGCUCUUCCAGAGGACCUGGGUUCAAUUCCCAG
rnacentral:tRNA from 1 species